rnacentral:rRNA from 1 species
GACGAACGCUGGCGGCGUGCCUAAUACAUGCAAGUAGGACGCAGUUGGGAGCGGGAGAGUAAGGCGUAGGUAACUGCCUAUUAGAGGGGGAUAACUAUUGGAAACGAUAGCUAAUACCGACUACUAGUAGAUGGACCUGCGUUGUAUUAGCUAGUAGGUAGGGUAAUGGCCUACCUAGGCAACGAUAAGUAGCAGGUCUGAGAGGGUGAUCGGCCACACUUGGACUGAGACACGGCCCAGACUCCUACGGGAGGCAGCAGUAGGGAAUCUUCGGCAAUGGGGGGAACCCUGACCGAGCAACGCCGCGUGAGUGAAGAAGGUUUUCGGAUCGUAAAGCUCUGUUGUUAAGGAAGCGGUACUUAACCAGAAAGGGACGGCUAACUACGUGCCAGCAGCCGCGGUAAUAC